rnacentral:misc_RNA from 1 species
GAUGAAGAACGUAGCGAAAUGCGAUAAGUAGUGUGAAUUGCAGAAUUCCGUGAAUCAUCGAAUCUUUGAACGCACAUUGCGCCUCCUGGUAGUCCGGGAGGCAUGCCUGUUCGAGCGUCACCAAAUCCAACUCAAGCGGUUUUGCGCUUGGUCGUGGCGGAAGAGUCGGUCUGGUUGCCGUCUCCCCUCCGAAAAUCAACGGCGGAAAGUCACUGGCAGUCAGCGUAGUAGUAUCGUUCGCCGAACAUCCAGUGGCAUUCCUGCCGACGUACCCCCACAAUUCUCGUGAUUGACCUCGGAUCAGGUAGGGAUACCCGCUGAACUUAAGUAUAUCAAUAAGCGGAGGA